CUUAAGCAUAUCAAUAAGCGGAGGAAAAGAAACUAACAAGGAUUCCCCUAGUAACUGCGAGUGAAGCGGGAAAAGCUCAAAUUUAAAAUCUGGCAGUUUAAUAGCUGUCCGAGUUGUAGUCUGGAGAAGUGCUUUCCGUGCUAGACCGUGUACAAGUCCCUUGGAACAGGGCGUCAUAGAGGGUGAGAAUCCCGUCUUUGACACGGACUACUAGUGCUUUGUGAUGCGCUCUCAAAGAGUCGAGUUGUUUGGGAAUGCAGCUCAAAAUGGGUGGUAAAUUCCAUCUAAAGCUAAAUACAGGCGAGAGACCGAUAGCGAACAAGUACCGUGAGGGAAAGAUGAAAAGCACUUUGGAAAGAGAGUUAAACAGUACGUGAAAUUGCUGAAAGGGAAACGCUUGAAGUCAGUCGCGUUGUCCGGAAAUCAGCCUUGCAUUUAUUUGCUUGGUGUAUUUUCUGGUUGACGGGCCAGCAUCGAUUUUAAUCGUUGGAUAAAGGCGAGGGAAAUGUGGCACCUUCGGGUGUGUUAUAGUCCCUUGUCACAUACAACGGUCGGGAUCGAGGAACUCAGCACGCCUUUAUUGGUCGGGGUUCGCCCACGUUUCGUGCUUAGGAUGUUGGCAUAAUGGCUUUAAACGACCCGUCUUGAAACACGGACCAAGGAGUCUAACAUACCUGCGAGUGUUUGGGUGGUAAACCCGAGCGCGUAAUUAAAGUAAUAGUUGAGAUCCCCGUUACAAGGGAGCAUCGACGCCCGGACUUGACCUUCUGUGAUAGCUCUGCGGUAGAGCAUGUAUGUUGGGACCCGAAAGAUGGUGAACUAUGCCUGAAUAGGGUGAAGCCAGAGGAAACUCUGGUGGAGGCUCGUAGCGAUUCUGACGUGCAAAUCGAUCGUCAAAUUUGGGUAUAGGGGCGAAAGACUAAUCGAACCAUCUAGUAGCUGGUUCCUG
rnacentral:rRNA from 1 species